rnacentral:misc_RNA from 1 species
CGUCACCAGGACCGACGCGGCCAGGAUCACGAAGAUCGCAAGACCGUGGUGCGCGAGCAGAUCGAGCUGCUGCACCACACCGACGCCCGCCGGCACGAACAGCAGCGACAGAUGCGCCAGCAUGCCUUUCGCGGCCCCCUCCACCGCGUUGUCGCGCAGCGGCCCUCGCGCCAGGAUCGGAAAACGAUCGCGUGUAAUCAGCACCACGAACAAAAGUGCAAGCCCAACUACCGGCCCCGGCACGGGCACCCGCAAUCC